rnacentral:rRNA from 1 species
UACGAGGGGGGCAAGCGUUGUUCGGAAUUAUUGGGCGUAAAGGGUGCGUAGGCUGUGCGGUAAGUCACCUGUGAAAUCUCCGAGCUCAACUCGGAGCCUGCAGGCGAAACUGCCGUGCUGGAGUAUGGGAGAGGUGCGUGGAAUUCCCGGUGUAGCGGUGAAAUGCGUAGAUAUCGGGUAGAACACCAGUGGCGAAAGCAGCUCACUGGACCAUUACUGACGCUGAUGCACGAAAGCUAGGGGAGCAAACAGG